AGAGGAAAUGUAGGAAAAUGGUGACUUUUGUUACUGAGUGUGAGAGUAUUUCAAUCUUUUCUUCUUCUUAGCAUGGGGAUUCAAGUGAGAAUAAGAGAGAAUCCCACCUUAGUGGUGUGUUUGGUUUGGAGAAAAAGAUGAAAAACCCGCUUUUGAUGCUCUUCCCCUUUCAGCCGGUUGUUGUUAUGCGCGUGGUCCCAAAAAUGAGUGGAGGAAGUCCUUUUAAUUUUGUUCUUAUUUUUGUUUAUUUUCUUCUAUUUUGAACAUAUUAGGACCAAACUUAGUAAUUAAAAUAAACACCAAUUACUCAAAAUAAAUUCAAUCUAAAUAUUCAAUUAAUCCUAAUUAAUUACACUAAUUAUUUUAACUAGAAAAUAAAAA
rnacentral:lncRNA from 1 species